AACUUUCAACAACGGAUCUCUUGGCUCUCGCAUCGAUGAAGAACGCAGCGAAAUGCGAUAAGUAAUGUGAAUUGCAGAAUUCAGUGAAUCAUCGAAUCUUUGAACGCACCUUGCGCUCCUUGGUAUUUCGAGGAGCAUGCCUG
rnacentral:rRNA from 1 species